GGAGGGGAUCGGAUGACCGUCGGCCGGGAGAGUCCGACCGGAGCCCGUGAGGGCCACCGGCAGGGAAUGCCCCGGCGGGAGGAAAGUCCGGGCUCCAGAGGGCGCGAUGGUGGGUAACGCCCACCGGCCGUGAGGCCAGGGACAGUGCCACAGAAAACAGACCGCCGGCAGGUUCGCCUGCCGGUAAGGGUGAAACGGUGAGGUAAGAGCUCACCAGCGGACCGGGUGACCGGUCCGGCUUGGUAAACCCCAUCGGGAGCAAGGCCAAGCAGGAAUGAGACCGGCCCUCGGGCCGGCGCGAAACGGCCCGUUUCGCACCCACUUCCGGGUCGGCUGCUGGAGACGCCGGGCAACCGGCGUCCUAGAGAAAUGGUCAUCGCCGCGCUCCUCGCAAGAGGGCCGCGGAACAAAACCCGGCUUACAGGUCCGCUCCAUCC
rnacentral:RNase_P_RNA from 1 species